AUUCAGCUGAUGAGUCCCAAAUAAAACGAAACACGCUUCCUGGAU
rnacentral:hammerhead_ribozyme from 1 species